GACGAGGGAUCCUAGCGUUGUUCGGAAUCAUUGGGCGUAAAGCGGGUGCAGGUGGCUUUAUAAGUCAGGUGUGAAAUCCCGAGGCUUAACCUCGGACGUGCAUUUGAUACUGUAAAGCUUGAGUGUGGGAGAGGCUAUUAGAAUUCCAGGUGUAGUGGUGAAAUACGUAGAUAUCUGGAGGAAUACCGGAGGCGAAGGCGGAUAGCUGGCCCAACACUGACACUCAGACCCGAAAGCGUGGGGAUCAAACAGG
rnacentral:rRNA from 1 species